rnacentral:misc_RNA from 1 species
UGUGGGUAUUUCAGGAGCUAGUUUCUUAGUAGGGAUGUGGUGCACCUCAUUAUGAGGCUCAACAGCAGCAAUUCGGAGGAGCUGAGAGUUGCGAGUAGAAGUGGGAGUGUCAUCUUCUUCAAAAUCCUUGACAGACUUGACAAUUGGGAGCUUCUUGUGAAUGUCUAAUGGCCGAGGCCUGAAUGAAAGCCUACUCAUUAUCUUUUCAUGUACAUGUGUGUUUCCUGCAUUCCCAUUGCCUAUGCCAGUCUCUUGCUAAUUCUGUAGAGUAAAUUGGAGUCUAGGGUUCAAUACAAGAAAGAACUCAAAGAAAGAGAAUUAUCCGCUGUGGUUUUGCGAUUUAUCUCUUCCUCUGGAGCGUGUGUUAGGGUUUCUGAAAGCCAGACACAGAUCUCAAAUCAAAAACCAAAGUGCAUCUUAUCUAAUAUAAUAUAAGC